rnacentral:rRNA from 1 species
CCUACGGGGGGCAGCAGUGAGGAAUAUUGGUCAAUGGGCGAGAGUCUGAACCAGCCAAGUAGCGUGAAGGAUGACUGCCCUAUGGGUUGUAAACUUCUUUUAUAAGGGAGUAAAAUGUGCCACGUGUGGGAUUUUGUAUGUACCAUAUGAAUAAGCAUCGGCUAACUCCGUGCCAGCAGCCGCGGUAAUACGGAGGAUCCGAGCGUUAUCCGGAUUUAUUGGGUUUAAAGGGAGCGUAGGUGGAUUGUUAAGUCAGUUGUGAAAGUUGUGGGCUCAACCGUGACAGUGCAGUUGAAACUGGCAGUCUUGAGUGCGGUAGAGGUAGGCGGAAUGCGUGGUGUAGCGGGGAAAUGCUUAGAUAUCACGAAGAACUCCGAUUGCGAAGGCAGCUCACUGGACUGCAACUGACACUGAGGCUCGAAAGUGUGGGUAUCAAACAGGAUUAGAUACCCGAGUAGUC